GCUAACCGUGGGCCAGGGGGCGGGGGAAGACAGAGGGUUCGGGCGUUAAUCGGAUGGACUGGGCGUAAAGCGCGCGUAGGUGGCUAAUUAAGUCAAAUGUGAAAUCCCCGAGCUUAACUUGGGAAUUGCAUUCGAUACUGGUUGGCUAGAGGAUGGGAGAGGAUGGUAGAAUUCCAGGUGUAGCGGUGAAAUGCGUAGAGAUCUGGAGGAAUACCGAUGGCGAAGGCAGCCAUCUGGCCUAAUACUGACACUGAGGUGCGAAAGCAUGGGGAGCAAACAGGAUUAGAUACCCCAGUAGUC
rnacentral:rRNA from 1 species